rnacentral:rRNA from 1 species
GACAGAGGGUGCAAGCGUUGUUCGGAAUUAUUGGGCGUAAAGCGCGCGUAGGCGGCCGACUAAGUCGGGUGUGAAAGCCCAGGGCUCAACCCUGGAAGUGCACUCGAUACUGGACGGCUUGAAUCUUGGAGAGGGUGGUGGAAUUCCUGGUGUAGAGGUGAAAUUCGUAGAUAUCAGGAGGAACACCGGUGGCGAAGGCGACCGCCUGGACAAGUAUUGACGCUGAGGUGCGAAAGCGUGGGGAGCAAACAGG